CCCAGAUGGGGCCGGAGUGGACGGAGAAGAGCCUGGGGACUCGUCCCAGAGGGCAGCAGUGACUCACUGAGCAUCUACCAUGGCUCUUAGCAGGACCCAGAGGUGCCACUAACCCAGUCCUGGUCCCCAGCGACCCUGGGGAGGAGCUUAACCUCGCUUUGCAGGAGUGAGGCGCAGAAGUAGACAGGAGUGCCGGGGAGAAAUAGAAAGGACCUGUAUUUCCUGGAGCCGGACUCAGUUCUACACGCCUCUUAGUGCUUCCCAAGUGAUGCAACUUACAACCAGAUCGCUCCCCACCAUCUGCUGUUCCCUUCGCCGGCUGCCCAGUCUUGGUUUGACUGCAGCUAUCGCCAGACAAACAGCGCCCAGAUCUGAGCCCCAGUCUGACUCUGAAGCCCGUGUAUGAAGCCUCUACCACCGUGUUCAUCAGGCCAAGAGUCAUCAGAGACCAGCUGGCCAGCACACCGGGACCCCGGAGAGCCUGCCCUGGGCCUAGCAGAUGACCCAGCAUUCAGGCUGCCCGACCUCCCGCCGUCUCCACUAGGAGAGCCCACAUCCCUGCAAGCCAGCCUGACCCUCAGCCCCCUUGGCAGCCGCAGAGCCCUCCAGGUCUAUGACUGUCAGCGGUGGCCGCUGACAAGGCUGCUCAGUGACUCAAGGGAUCGAUGUGUAGACUGUGUACCAACCAGCAGGAAAUGGUUCCCUUUUUCUGUAGCUGGUCUGAGUGCGGCAUGCGGGCAGAUCCACAGCCCAGGCCAGGCAGCCCCCUCUCACCCCCUGCACCUCAAGAUGGGGACGCUGCAUGAUGGGUGUGCUCAGGCCAGCGCUUCCUCCCAGGGUUGAGGAGUGCAGUUCAUCACCCACUGGACCUCCAGGGGUGCCCCAGGGGACCUGGGAGGAGGGAAGAAGACAGGCUUUGGCAAUAUGCUGACUCGCCUUCCUGCCAUCAGUCUUGGGGUGACAGCCCCACGGAGGCUGUUUCCCUGGCAGGGCCGCCUGGCUCUCCCACUGCCGCUGCCGCUGCCCAGUCCACAUAGACGGCUGCUGUCUAGACAGCC